AUUAGUUAGUUGGCGGGGUAACGGCCCACCAAGACGAUGAUGCGUAGCCGACCUGAGAGGGUGACCGGCCACACUGGGACUGAGACACGGCCCAGACUCCUACGGGAGGCAGCAGUAGGGAAUUUUCGGCAAUGGGCGCAAGCCUGACCGAGCAACGCCGCGUGAGUGAUUAAGGCCUUCGGGUUGUAAAGCUCUGUUGUAAGGGAAGAACAUUCAGGAUAGGAAAUGAUCUUGAACUGACGGUACCUUACCAGAAAGCCACGGCUAACUACGUGCCAGCAGCCGCGGUAAUACGUAGGUGGCAAGCGUUAUCCGGAAUUAUUGGGCGUAAAGGGUGCGUAGGCGGUUUAUUAAGUCUAUGGUGAAAGUGCGGGGCUCAACCCCGUAUGGCCAUAGAAACUGAUAGACUUGAGUGCAGGAGAGGGCAAUGGAAUUCCAUGUGUAGCGGUAAAAUGCGUAGAUAUAUGGAGGAACACCAGUGGCGAAGGCGGUUGCCUGGCCUGUAACUGACGCUGAGGCACGAAAGCGUGGGGAGCAAAUAGGAUUAGAUACCCUAGUAGUCCACGCUGUAAAC
rnacentral:rRNA from 1 species